GUCCCCCCCCCCCCCCCCCCACAUUAGAUUCAGUUUUCAGCAUCUGUAAGUUAUCAAACAAAAUGUAAAUAACUUGGGAAAUGUCUCCUUACACUGGAAAGAGCAAAUGGCAGAAAUAUAUAUUUGUGUGACAAAGGUAUUAAAUGAAAGUAUUAAUGAAGACAGUAAUGGGAGGUUGCUAUUACUUGUACAUGGAUAUAUUCUGCUGUUCUGUAAUGCAUGCUGGGUUAACAUUUCUUUUCUGUGAAGCCUAGGUAUAAGAGGAUGGUGGUCCGUGCACAACAUAUCAUGGGCGGGUCCAAUGAAAGUGUAUUGUCACUCCUGAACAAUGUUCAUAACUGCAGGUUAAAAAAGGCUGGAAAGGUUCCAAUCAGUAGUUGUUGGUGCGCUUAUUACUCUGGAGAAGGAUAACAAGGCUCUAAUGGAGGUGGAGAACAACAUAAUGGAUUUCUGCAAGGAAAUAACGUCAUUUUGUGAAACCCAGGAAAAAAGGCUGCAUUCCUUGGAUGUUAUGAAUGAGAGCACCUUGGCAAAAGGAACACAGACAUUUGCUGAGGAAGAAAUGCUGGCCAGUAGCGAGAAGAAACUGCAGGCAAUUUCUAAUACCCUGUAAAGGAUAUGUCCUUUAAUUAAAGGAAAAAUGAUAAAACUGGUGAAUGUUUAUACAAUUAUGUAUUGAGUAAAUGUGGUUUUGCAUU